rnacentral:rRNA from 1 species
CUCAAAGGAAUUGACGGGGACCCGCACAAGCGGUGGAUGAUGUGGUUUAAUUCGAUGCAACGCGAAAAACCUUACCCACCUUUGACAUGUACGGAAUCCUUUAGAGAUAGAGGAGUGCUCGAAAGAGAGCCGUAACACAGGUGCUGCAUGGCUGUCGUCAGCUCGUGUCGUGAGAUGUUGGGUUAAGUCCCGCAACGAGCGCAACCCUUGCCAUUAGUUGCUACGAAAGGGCACUCUAAUGGGACUGCCGGUGACAAACCGGAGGAAGGUGGGGAUGACGUCAAGCCCUCAUGGCCCUUAUAGGUGGGGCUACACACGUCAUACAAUGGCUGGUACAGAGGGUUGCCAACCCGCGAGGGGGAGCUAAUCCCAUAAAGCCAGUCGUAGUCCGGAUCGCAGUCUGCAACUCGACUGCGUGAAGUCGGAAUCGCUAGUAAUCGCGGAUCAGAAUGUCGCGGUGAAUACGUUCCCGGGUCUUGUACACACCGCCCGUCACACCAUGGGAGCGGGUUCUGCCAGAAGUGGUUAGCCUAACCGUAAGGAGGGCGAU